GAAAAUUAAGUCUAGCUAUUACAAUUCUAAUACAACUAAAGAAAUCUAAGAAAAACAACUAAACUGAGUUACAAAGUAUAAAGACCGCUAAAAAAUGACACAAAAUCUGAAAUUAGGUCUAAACUAGGAGCACAUCUGAUUAGCUUUGGUCAUUGCUCUAGGGCUUUGUCUCAGCAGUUUUGCUCAGUUCAUCACUUUUCCUUGCCCAAAAGCCAA
rnacentral:lncRNA from 1 species